GCCCAGGUAGCUCAGUGGUAGAGCACCCCCUUGGUAAGGGGGAGGUCGUGAGUUCAAGUCUCAUCCUGGGCU
rnacentral:tRNA from 2 species